GUGUGUGUUUGUGUGUGUGUGUGUGUGUGUGUGUGUGUGUAAAGUAAGUGUAUAUGUGUGUGUGUGUUUGAAAAGUUAGGGAUUGCUGUGGAUCAAUCGUGGUCUUAUUUAAUACGGUUUGAGACGGUCUAAGCUCCUCUGUAACAGGCUUAAGGCUUGUUUUAUCUGGAAGGCCUCUGCAUUCACUAACAGAUUUCUGACAGCUUAGGUGUCCUCUGAUGUGGCCUAACAGCCUUACAGCUGGGUGCAGCCCUGAUGGCGAACUUGCUUUCCCUCCGUUCAGCAGCCCAUGUGGCUCAGGCUCCACAGCCAGCAUGGCCUACCUCAAAUCUACGCCGUACUCGGUCAACGGCAUCGGACUCGCCAUGCCUACAAUGGACUCCUUGCACUCCAGCAUGGGAUACCCAGCAGGUAACCCCCGGAAACAGCGCCGAGAGAGAACCACGUUCACGCGGGCGCAGCUGGACAUCCUCGAGGCCCUGUUCGCAAAGACGCGCUACCCAGACAUCUUCAUGAGGGAGGAAGUGGCCCUCAAAAUUAACCUUCCGGAGUCCAGGGUUCAGGUUUGGUUCAAGAACCGGAGGGCCAAGUGCCGCCAGCAGCAGAAGCAGCACCAGCAGCAGCAACAGCAGAACGGCGGUGAGAAGACAAGCAGCGCGGGGCGUUCGUCAGGCUCCUCAGGCAGUAAGAGCAAGCCAUCCGGCUCUGUGUCCGUGUGCAACAAGUCUCCGCCGCCCACCAAUAACAACAACAACACUAACCCCAGCUCCACCACAAGCUCGCCGCCGACGUCAGUAGUUCCCGCAGCCCAUCACCGCGACUCCCCGGCUGGCGGUUAUAUCAAGCCCCUGCUCAGUAGCACCCCCCCGGCAUCCCUGUACAACACUAGCAACGCGCCUAUCUGGAGCCCAGCCUCCAUCGACAGUUGUCUGGAUCGCAGCGGCUACGCGGGCAUUAGUGUCGGUGUGAGUUCCGCAGCAGGGGGUGGAGGCGGUAGUGGCGCUGCAACGACGGGAACGACGCAGGGAUCUCUGGCGUCGUCGAACUGUUACCCGCCACCUCACCAGAACUACGGUGCCUAUUAUACCAAUAUGGACUACUUGGGUCCAGCUUCAAUGUCACACUCACAACUCAACGUUCCGGAAAACAGCUUGGAGACAUCGUGGGCGAAAAGCAGAGAAGAACCGUGGUUCUACAAUUCAUCUGGGUGGGAUCGGAAAUGAAUGUGUGCACCGUGGCUCCGAGUUCGAACACUGAUUUCAAUUGCGCAGAAGCAGCGACUUGCUAAUGGUGUGCUGCUUUCUGCCACUCAUCAACGUUACUGAGAGUUAGUUGCAUAUCAUCAAGCGGCAGGGGAUGUUGCCAUUUUAACUUAGUUAAACAGUGGGCUUACAACAGGAAACAGUUCGCCGACCGCCGUCCUGCAGAUGCCACGACUAUCUCUCGAGAUGAGACCUUAGUCCCAGGGAUACAGGGACUUCGGAUACCGGGGGGAGAACAACCUUCGUGGUUUAUAUAAAUUCGGUGGCCUCCAGAACCAGCAUCGUGUAUUACUGUUUUAAGUUAAAAUUCCGUCCAGUGAUUGUCAAUCUUUACGUUCGUCCUCCUACAAGCUCGCCUCUCACUGAUCACUCCAGUCGGCAUCCUUAUUUAUAUUCAAAGCAAUUCGCUCCCGUCUCGCUGCCACUCCUGUAACUUCCAUCUCCUCCUGUGUCUUGACUCCGACUGUCUGUUCACUCACCCUCAGGCAGCUCCCAGCCACAAGUCCCUAAGUGGCCGUCAGUAGAAAACAAGAGACAGACAAGGGUCAUGCUAGGCGCCAGUCCCGCAUUUGCCUACCGAUAUGUUUAUCUUAAACCUUUUCAGGUCUCCGAGGUACAUGAGCAGGCAAAUCAAGACCCCUUCUGGCAGGUCUCGCACAAUGUCAAAUCAUGGAUUUAUCACGCAAAAUCCUUGCCUAUCUCGACGGAAGAGAACACUAGGACCAAACUGGCGACAUUGAUGACAAUAGUGGCACCAAAUGCGUAAGGAAGACUAUGUUGAAUUACAAUUAGACGGUCCCGGGAUGGUACCUCGCCGUAGGAGCGCCUCUCAGGGUGUGAACAUAAAGUAUAAAUUGGUCAUAAGCACAAUUAAAUAAUUUUAGCGAGGGACGUACGGUUAUAGUAUGGGUGUGAAACUUGGUCU